GUGUGUGUGUGUCUGGUGUGUGUGUGUGUGUGUGUGUUCUUCUGUUGGAGGUGUUCUAGAAACAGCAGCUCGGACUGUCAGAGCGGUCUGAUUGGUGAGGGGGGGGGGGGGGAAAACUUAGCUGUUAUUGGCAGAGAGAUUUCAAACCUCUCUUAUUGGUCUAUUAACCUAAUUAUGAUGUCACAAGGCAGGCCAAAAAAACUCCGCCCCAACCAAAAAACAGGAUUGAAAUUUCAGAGGGGUCUUUUCAAAUAACUCUUCCCACUAAAAUGACAUUAUCAAUUUCACAGUAUUAUUCCAACCUCAUAGCGUGGAAAUAUAUCAAUCACAGGAACGUUUUUUCACUGCCCUGGGCCUUUAAAAGAAGUUUAAUAAAAAAGUGACGAAUGUAAUAUUGUGUGGUAAAAAAAAAAAUGUUCUGUUGAAUUCUGUGUAAUUAUGAAUUUUGAUUUAAAAGAGAUGUUUUGAUUUGUAAAAUUCAUUUGAUCUGAAUUGAGAUGGAGAAAUAAAAAAAUAAAACGUUGAUUACCCCUAAAAAAAAUACUGAAAGGUUGAAUAAAAUGACAGAUAAAACUCGGUUCUGUUAUACUGCAGGUCUUUAUGUUCAGAUAAAAGGGGAGGUUUCCUUUAUGUUCAGAUAAAAGGGGAGGUUUCCUUUAUGUCCAGAUAAAAGGGGAGGUUUCCUUUAUGUUCAGAUAAAAGGGGAGGUUUCCUUUAUGUUCAGAUAAAAGGGGAGGUUUCCUUUAUGUCCAGAUAAAAGGGGAGGUUUCCUUUAUGUCCAGAUAAAAGGGGAGGUUUCCUUUAUGUCCAGAUAAAAGGGGAGGUUUCCUUUAUGUCCAGAUAAAAGGGGAGGUUUCCUUUAUGUUCAGAUAAAAGGGGAGGUUUUCCUUUAUGUUCAGAUAAAAGGGGAGGUUUCAGUAUGCAGAUCAGGGACGAUAUACAGGACCAGUCAAAAUGUUGGACAACACCAACUCAAUCCAGGGUUUUUAUUUUAAUUGUAUUUUUCUACAUUGUAGAAUAAUAGUGACGACAUCAAAACUAUGAAAACAACCCCUAUUAAUAUAGAAUGUUCUCUGGGUUUAAUAGACAUAUUAAAAGAUUAGUCAUAUAACUUUUUUUAAAAUUAUUAUAAUUAUUAUUCCCUUUAAUGUGGCAUGAAACAGAACCAGUCCUGUUUUCAGCUGAUUGUCUAACAAUCCCUUCCCGAAAGAGAUCUGUCACACAAAACUAAAAACUAAAAAAGUGUGAUGUCAUUCAGUGAUUGUCAUUCGUAACCAUUCGGCUUGUAGCCUGAAUUGAUGCGUCCACUGCUGUAAACGCGCG
rnacentral:lncRNA from 1 species